rnacentral:lncRNA from 1 species
UUAAGGUAUGCUGUUUCUUUUUGAUAUUGUUGAUUUCUUUAGGUGUAAUAGUGGCAUUUACAACGUUGAGAGAAACAUACUGAAAUACUAAGAAGUUAACUGAUCUUAUGGCCAGGAUGUGCUUCACACAAUUCAGACAGGUAGAGAGAGGAGGAGGAAGCAAGGAGCUAUAAGAUAAAUCUCUGACAGCUGAAGACAUUGGUCAUGGGUUGGUGAUGGAUAGAUGAGAGUCCAUUUUACUGUUUGCUCUACUUUUGUAUAGUUGGAAUUCUCCAUGAUAAACUGUUUUAAUAAAACUCCCCCCACCCAAAUGAGGCUUCUGCAGAACUUGCUGCCAUACGGAACAAAGCCACUUCUGAUGUGUUAAGUGAGCAAACUCCAAACAUGAAGCAGAGACUGCAGCGAGCCGAGGUCCCUACACUGCACUCCAGCUUGGGCAACAAAAUGAGACCCUGUCUCAAAAAAUAAAAUAAAAAAAUAAAAACUGACUUAUGAAAAGUUGAAAGAGGAAGAAACACCUUUGAGUCAGCUCACAAGAUGCUCUCCCUGCUUCCUAAGUCCUGGAUACAUCCACCCACCCACAGCACAGGAUGGAGAGAAGUGGUUGCGGCCUUCUGCCACCAGGCGAGAUGUGCGUCCUGACCCCACAGGAGCAGACGUGUGGGCCAAGACCACCCUUGUGGGCGUUAUUGCAGCCUGUUAAUCCCUCCUUCCCAGGAAGGGGUAUGGUGGGAGGGCCCAGAAAGCAGGGCUGGGGGUAGAGGUGGCCCCUUCUGUCCACACGCCAUGAGGUCGUUCCCACUCUCCAGCACUUGACCGUUUAGUAAAAACGAUGAGCUGAAAAACCACAUGCAAUAAACAAGAAGGAGCAGCCAACAAAAUCUCUUA